AUUGAACGCUGGCGGCAUGCCUUACACAUGCAAGUCGAACGGUAACAGGUCUUCGGAUGCUGACGAGUGGCGAACGGGUGAGUAAUACAUCGGAACGUGCCUAGUAGUGGGGGAUAACUACUCGAAAGAGUGGCUAAUACCGCAUGAGAUCUACGGAUGAAAGCAGGGGAUCGCAAGACCUUGUGCUACUAGAGCGGCCGAUGGCAGAUUAGGUAGUUGGUGGGAUAAAAGCUUACCAAGCCGACGAUCUGUAGCUGGUCUGAGAGGACGAUCAGCCACACUGGGACUGAGAGUCGGCCCAGACUCCGACGGGAGGCAGCAGUGGGGAAUUUUGGACAAUGGGCGAAAGCCUGAUCCAGCAAUGCCGCGUGCAGGAUGAAGGCCUUCGGGUUGUAAACUGCUUUUGUACGGAACGAAAAGCCCCGGGUUAAUACCCUGGGGUCAUGACGGUACCGUAAGAAUAAGCACCGGCUAACUACGUGCCAGCAGCCGCGGUAA
rnacentral:rRNA from 1 species